rnacentral:lncRNA from 1 species
AAGAAGAGAAAACAAGACCGAAACUAAAAAGAUAGGAGGAUUUAAGAUCCUUGGCUUAAGACCCUAAAGACUAAUACUCGCUCUUCUCCGCUCAUGCCGCAUCCGCUCAUGCCUCAACUGGGAUUUAGUGUUUUGACCUGGACUUAAUGUUUGGUUGGAGAGAAUAACAGGCUUAAAAGGAAGUAAGAAAAAGAAAAUAAAACCAAAAAUCUUUAAAAUUAAGGGAGUUUACUCAAAAUUUCACAAAAUAAGUAAAGCAGAUAGAUCAACUCAAGAUCCACUCCUAGGCGGUAGUCCGCCACCUGGGGAUUGAGAAGAUAAGUAAAAUUAACGAGAAAUAAACUCCAGAACCACUCCUAGGCGAUAGUCCGCCGCCUGCGGUUGGAGGUUUUUGAAUGAUUAACUAUAUCAGGCCGUUUGGCUCUUAUAUAUAUAUACAAGGCCCUUCCACAAAGGGAUCCUUUAUUAUGACUUAUAUGAGGGAUUGUGCAUUAGACUAACUUUUCGAUCAUAUUUUUCAAUCUUAACCAUUCAGUUUUUAGGUCAUAAUAUGUAGAUCACUGCUGCAAAAUUUCAUCCAUAUUGGUGAUCGUUAUGGUACUCAAAACUGCAGUUUUCAUGAACGGUUAAGGUUUGGCAGAUUUGAACCGUCUAUUGAUUUAAGCUAGUUUGAGGCCUUAAAGAUCACAAAUUUGGCUGAAAAUUUUCAGAAAUGAUCUAGUUAUAUAUACCUAGAGGUUGAAUGGUGGAGAUGUUGAUAUGUGAUCAAAAAGUUGGGCUAAUGCUCAAUCCCUCAUAUAAGUCAUAAUAAGGGAUCUCUUAAUGGAAGGGCCAUGUACAUAUAUGUGUGUAUAUAUAUAUAUGUGUAUAUAUUAUAUGUAUAUAUAUAUAGAGCCAUUCGAGAGCGGACGUCCGCAACUCUGUUAAAGUGCGGACGCAAGCUCAAAUCAACUCUGGCGACACCGAUUGCUUAGUUGUUCUUGUUGGUUCCAAACAAGAGCUCCAUCUUGAGCUUCUUCUUGCCGGUAGACUCGACGGUGAUGAGUUUUGAAGCCUGGUUUGAGCUUCUUCAAGUUUCUGCAGUUUUUCCGACACCGGACCUUGUUCUUCGAUCACCUUGGCAUUCAACUUGAUGGUAAUGGUGUCCAGGAUGCCAAUGGCAU